CCUGCCCCUGACCUCUGGGGAGGAAGGUGGGGCUGGAGGUUAAAUCCAUUGCCAUUGGUCCAAGAUUUAAUCAAUCAUGAUUAUGUAAUGAAAUCUCCCUAAAAACUUGAAAGGAAGGCAUUUGGAGAGCUUCCAGUUAGUGAACCUGUGGAGAUUUGGGGGGAGUGUGGCCCCCAGAGAGCAUGGAGAAGAUCUGUGUUCCCUCCCACAUGCCCUCUCCAUCUCUUCCAUCUGACUGUUCUUGAAUUUUAUCCUUUUACAAUAACCUAGUAAUCUAACGUAGGGCUGGCCAGAAGUCCCAAAUUCCUAAUCAUGUGGUUGGUCUUCCUGGUAACCAGCACCUGUCCUGAAGCUGUGUAGGGGCCCACGAGGAGUCACCAUUGGCAUAAGAAAGACACUCCAAUCAUUCUGGAAAUUCUAAGGGUUUUUGCCAGGAUCUGAGGACAGAGACCAGAUAUAUUAUUUCUUUUAUCACAGUUGUGAAAGGCACAGAUGUGUGUGUGCCACAGUGCACACUAUACAUCCUGCUGGAGUCCGGAAACAGAAACAAGACUGAUGUUUUUUCCAGUUCCCUUGAGCUCCUGCCUUACUGAACCUCUCAACAGAUGCUGAAAUCACAGGCUCUUGAAUGGCUUUGAAAUGCUGUUCCUUCCGUAAGGUAUCUGCACCACAUCCUCUAAGGCUACAUUUCUAUCCUUGCCUAUUAGCAUCUGUAUUAGUCUGUGAGGGCUACCAAAACAAAACAGCACAGCUUGGGUGCCUUAAACAACAUAAGUUAAUGUUCUUACAGUUCUGGACGCUGGAAGUCCAAGAACAGGUGCCAGCACUGGUUUCUAAGAUAUCUGUCUCUCCUUGGUUUACAGGUGGCUGCCUUUUUACUGUAUCCUUACACGGUUUUUCCUCUGUACAUGUGCGCUCAUGGUGUUCCCUCCUCUUCUUAUAAGGACACCAGUCUUAUUAGAUUACAGUAUCACUCUUUUGACUUCAGUUAAUUACCUCCUUAAAGUCACUAAUCCAGGGAUGCAAGAAGACGCAAUUCAGUCCGUAAUGAUGGGGAGUAAAAUAUCUGACCCCUAUAUAUGCCACUUUGGCACGUGGAUUAUUUUGAGUUGAAGGCAGUCAAGACUGAGAAGACUCUACAAACACUUUUACCUCUCUCUUAACUACCUAAAAAUAAUUUAGAUAGUGGGCCUGGCCCAGAAAGAGAACUCCUACCAGAGAUAAAUUUCUAUCUGAAGACCCACCUAUUUGGCAGGGCAAACAUCGAAUUACCACACAUUUGCUUCUUUUCAUUGCCCUGUGAAUUAGCCUCUUCCCCUUUGAAGCCCCAGGCCCCUUCCCAAUUCCUUAACGUAGGAUGGCAUGUAAGCCUCAACUUACCAAUUUGUCCCUGGGUCUCAUAUUUUUUAGGGAGCUCCUAUAUUUACAUAAUUAAACUUGUUCUUCUCCUGUUAAUCUGUCUUACAUCAAUUUGAUUAGUAGACCAGCCAAAAGAACUCAGUAAGGUAGAGGGAAAAGUUUUCCUCCCCUCUAAUAACAACCUCCCCUUACUUUUUAGGAUCCAAUUUCUCUGAAUCAUCCUCUAAAUCCUUUUGUGGAGACCCUCAGCACUGUUCUCCCCUGACCUAUUGAUAUUUCUCAUAACAGGGUGACUGUACUCAUAACCAUGAGCGAACGUAGACAUACACAGACCUCAAGAGCCAUGAGCCCUUUGGGGUCAGGGACCAUAUUCCUUUCUAAUUUGAAUCCACAAAAUCUAGAAUGCGGUUUUAUAAAAUUACUCAGUACAAGUAAGUAAAAGCAAUAGAUAAAAAAAUUCAAGAGCCUAAAGUACGAAUUUGAUCUAUUGUGGUGUUGUUUCAGGUUUAAAGUAGUACUCUUCUUUAGGCAAACAACUCUAUCGAUAUAUGCUUCCUCCUGUGAAAGUGAUUAAAAUUUACCAUCCAUGUAUGCACACCUACCCAAUCUCUGGUUCCCAUGGUAACUGUACAAGCUUCACAUCUGGUAUGGAGACGCUGUGGUGUUUUUUUUAUUUAUUUUUUUAUUUUCUUUAUGUUUAUUUAUUUUGGAGAGAGAGAGGCAGAGUGUGAGCCGGGGAGGGGC